AAAAACUUAGUUAAAAAAUAACAUUAACUUGUCAAGUUAAAAUUAAUUCAUUAUUAGUUUUUA
rnacentral:tRNA from 1 species